GAUAUCCCGGUUUAGGCAGAUGUAGGCGACAGGUAGGCAAAUCCGCCUGUCAUAUACCGAGGCUGCCGAUCGAGCGAGCUUGCUCGCGAAGUGAUUGAACGAGGUUCCAGGAAAAGCCACUAAGCUUCAGCUACACACGACCGUACCGCAAACCGACACUGGUGCGCGAGAUGAGUAUUCUAAGGCGCUUGAGAGAACUCGGGAGAAGGAACUCGGCAAAUUGACACCGUAACUUCGGAAGAAGGUGUGCCCUAUUAGUGUGAAGUGAACAACGGAGCAUGAAUGGGUUGCAAAAAAUCGGUGGCUGCGACUGUUUAUUAAAAACACAGCACUCUGCAAACACGAAAGUGGACGUAUAGGGUGUGACGCCUGCCCGGUGCUGGAAGAUUAAAUGAUGGGGUGCAAGCUCUUGAUUGAAGUCCCAGUAAACGGCGGCCGUAACAAUAACGGUCCUAAGGUAGCGAAAUUCCUUGUCGGGUAAGUUCCGACCUGCACGAAUGGCGUAACGAUGGCCACACUGUCUCCUCCCGAGACUCAGCGAAGUUGAAAUGUUUGUGAUGAUGCAAUCUCCCCGCGGAAAGACGGAAAGACCCCAUGAACCUUUACUGUAGCUUUGUAUUGGACUUUGAACAGAUCUGUGUAGGAUAGGUGGGAGGCUUUGAAGCAGGGUCGCUAGAUCUUGUGGAGCCAACGUUGAAAUACCACCCUGGUGUGUUUGAGGUUCUAACCUAGGUCCAUUAUCUGGAUCGGGGACAGUGCAUGGUAGGCAGUUUGACUGGGGCGGUCUCCUCCCAAAGCGUAACGGAGGAGUUCGAAGGUACGCUAGUUACGGUCGGACAUCGUGACGAUAGUGCAAUGGCAUAAGCGUGCUUAACUGCGAGACUGACAAGUCGAGCAGAUGCGAAAGCAGGACAUAGUGAUCCGGUGGUUCUGUAUGGAAGGGCCAUCGCUCAACGGAUAAAAGGUACUCUGGGGAUAACAGGCUGAUACCGCCCAAGAGUUCAUAUCGACGGCGGUGUUUGGCACCUCGAUGUCGGCUCAUCUCAUCCUGGGGCUGUAGCCGGUCCCAAGGGUAUGGCUGUUCGCCAUUUAAAGAGGUACGUGAGCUGGGUUUAAAACGUCGUGAGACAGUUUGGUCCCUAUCUUCCGUGGGCGCUGCAGAUUUGAGGAAGCCUGCUCCUAGUACGAGAGGACCGGAGUGGACGCACCUCUGGUGUAUCGGUUGUCACGCCAGUGGCAUUGCCGAGUAGCUAUGUGCGGAAGAGAUAACCGCUGAAAGCAUCUAAGCGGGAAACUCGUUCCAAGAUGAGAUCUGCCGGGGCCUUGAGCCCCCUAAAGAGUCGUUCAAGACCAGGACGUUGAUAGGUCGGGUGUGGAAGCGCAGUAAUGCGUUAAGCUAACCGAUACUAAUUGCUCGUGCGGCUUGACCCC
rnacentral:rRNA from 1 species